UGAGUAUAAAAGAAAUGUAUUCACUCCUUUCUCAGCAGAUAAGAUAUUGAUUUUUACAAACAAAAAUAAAAAUAAUAAGUGGAACAAAAAGAAAUCUGUAGGGAAACGAAUAUUUUGGAUGAGAUUUCUGGUAUUUCCUGCUACUAGUCAUGCAGGAAAUGUCUUUUUUAUUCUUUUCCCAACCCUUACACUCAUGAUUUUACCACUUCUAUUUCAGACUAAACACAAUGGUUAGCGGCCUUGGGAGGAAAGCAAAUGUAUGGAUUUAAAAUGAAGAAAAAAAAAAAAUGAAAGCUUCCACACUGCACUUAGAAAUGCAACAACCAUCAAUACAAAAAGAAAAUUUGAAGAAAUUUUUCUACCGCCAAUAGUUUAUCUCUUUUUAUUUUCAGUAUAUGAAACAAUUUGACUACCUUUCUCAGAAAUAUUUUAACCUUUUAAUAAAGACAGUUUAUUUACAGAUAUUUAAACAUUCUGAACAAAAAUAAAACCGUGACAUUUAAAAAGGGAGCAUGACCUUCCAAACUAAUCAGAGGUAUAAAUACAUUAAAAUGACAAUGUAACUCUCUUAUUCCAAUGCAAUUUUUCCUUUGCAAAUUAUGGGCUGCAUGUAGAGUAUUUAGUAGCUGGCUGAACAAAGAGGUUUGGCCAAUGUCAACAUUAGAAUUAUGUCUCAGAUUUCCUUAUUUGUUCACAAUCUAUUCAAUAAUUUGGCCACAGGAACACAUCAAAAUUGUGAGUGAUGUCCAAAAGAAUAGCUACUAUGUGAUAUGUUGUAUAAAUUAGCUUUUGCUGUACAAAAAAUACUCCUAAACUUUGUGGCAUACAACAACAGGCAUAUAUUAGCUCAUAGUUUUAUAGAUCAAUGUUUUGGGUUGGGUUUUUCUGGAAAAUUCUACUGACCUGGCCUGGGCUUAACAUAUCUUGACUGAGGCUCCCCUAGGUGUCUACAGUGAACCGUGGGUUGGUUUGAGCUGACUGACUGUGGGAUGAGGUGCCCCAGUAUUCCACAUGAUAUUUUAUCCUCCAGCAGGCUAGCAUGGGCUUAUCCUGCACUUUCAUGGUUCCAAGAGCAGCUAAAAACUUGUACUGCAAUCACUUCUCCAGUCUCUGCUGUGUUAAAUUUACUCUUGUUCCAUCGGCAAAAGUGAGUCACAUGGCCAAGCCCAGAGUCAGUAUGAGAGGGACUAGAAAAGUUUAGGGGUAGAGUAUGAAAUAAUUGGAAGCCAGUAUUACAACAAUUUAACACAGAUGAUUAUAAAAGUUUUUUUAAAAGGCAAGAAUGGUGGACCAAAAGUACAAGGAGAAAUCUCAUAGGGAUAAAUAUAUAAUGUAGCACUGGCAUUCAGAACACCCUUUAGCAGGUAGAGGAUCAAGGAGACCUGAUUUAACUUCAGUCCCCUGAGAAAGUCUUAGGAACUUUGGUUGGUAACAAGCUCAAUAUAAAUCGGCAAUGUGAACUGACAUCCAAAAGAGAGAGAACUAAUGUAAUCUUAGGUCACCUUAUUGAAAGUAGAGAAGUCAAACCAAUGGAACCAAUAGUCCUGGGAUUUUUCAGGGGUCAUACCAUACCUGUUCUGGGUACAGUAAAUGACAAGGGAAAAUGGAACAUAAGGGAUGUCCAGAGGAGUGCAACCUGAGUGACAGGAAGCUGGAAAUACAUUGCACACAAAUUCUUUAAAGGCCACGAGGACGUUCACUCUGCAAAAGAGAAGAUUUAAGAUUUGAAGAUAGUAUCAUAAUAGCACACUUCAAAUACUUCAAAAGCAUUGUAAAAAAGUAGGAUUAGAUGUGCUCCCUAUGGCUUUGGAAGGAGAAGGGAACAAUUAAGUAGAAGCUACAAGAAGACAAAUUUAGAGAUAAUGAUAGGGGGAAAAAACUCACAAUUAUUAGAAGUGUCCAUAAAUGGAGUGGUUAUUGCCAGGGAGUGGGCUUUCUUUCACCAGAAGUGUGCAAGCAGAGAAGAUGACUACAACCAGUGAGAAACUAGGCAACAGUGGCUCUCAAACCUGGCUGCAACUCAGAAUCUACAGCUUUGGAAAAUACAGACAACAUGGCAACCUCUGGAACAAAAUCUGCACAAUUGUACUUUAAACUUCCUUAUAGGAGAUUAUGACACAUGACCAGGUUUUGGAACCAUUGUUUCAACAGGUCAGCAAACUGUGGCUUGCCACUGGUGUUGUGUAGCCCCAGAGCUAAGAAAGGCUUUUACCUUAAUACUUAGUGACACUUAAAAAAUCAUAUGAAAAUCAAAUGUUGGUUUUCAGAAAUAAAGUCUUUUCAGAACACAGCUAUGCUUAUUCUUUAUGUAUUGCCUACAGCUUGCUACCACAGUGGAGCUGAAUAAUUGUCACUGAGACCAUGUGGCCCACAACCCUAAAAUAUGUGUUAUCUGGCCCCUUAGAGAAUAGAAUCUGCCAACUCUUGCUCUAAGAUUUUGCUGUGAAAAGUGUCUCCGGCCCUACCCAGCAUCCACUGAAUGAGAAACUAUAUAUUAAAUGAACUCCAGGUGAUCAGUGUAUGCACAUUAGAAUCUGAGAAGCUCUACUCCUGGUGUUGAUCAAUUCUAAUUUAUAUAAUUUUUAUAAAUUUAAACUUCGUGUUGUAUUGUUUGCAUCAAUCGUAUAAGAAUAAAAAUGUGAC
rnacentral:lncRNA from 1 species